AUGGUAGAGCAUGCUGGCCAUCCCGGGGGGCAUGGAAGACCCCGGGGAACAGACCACAGGGCCUCUUGUGGACCAGGGCCUGGGACCUGCUGGACCAUAGGUACAGCACUUGCCCCUGAGCCCUGAAACUCUAAGUAAGCAGGAAAGGGGAAGCUGAGAGCUGGAGGAGAGGAAACACAUGGCAAGACUCGGUGAGGAGAACACCAAAGGGGUCAUCACUGCCGAGGACCUCAAACCCCCACAGGCUGCAAGGGGACAGACACAGAAGUGUACAGCUGACACAUUCAAGAUUGCAAGAAACUUUCUUGAACCAUGUUUCUCCAACUAUCAGAUUCAAGAGAUAAAUCUACAAUCUUUGCCUCCCUUAACUGCAAGAUGAAUUUUCCAGUUUCCUGCCUCCAUGCCUCUCCAUGAAAGGCUCAGCCACGUAAGAAUAUAAAAGCCAUUCUUGGCAUGAACCCUCAGACCGAGGAGGAUGUCAAAGAGGCUGGUUAACUGAUUCUCCCUUCAAGAUACUGCAGGUCCACAACACAGGCUUGUCACUGGAUCUCUCUUCUCUCUGGACAUUCAGACCACCCUCUUUAGUCAACAGCCUCCUGCAGAUGAAGCUUAGCUGCUCCUGACACUUCUCAGGGCAGCUGUCCUGCCCAGCUCAUCCACCCUACUUGGUACAACCAAGGGGCCAGCGUGGGCUGCCCGCCAGAGGUCAGGUAGGCAUAUGCUGGCUGCAGUCUGACUCGUGGCUUGUGGCCGGACUUGAAAAAGACAGAUUAUCUUUAAAGAGGUGUCUUUAAAAAGCCAGAAGAAAGCUGCAUUUAAUAGUUGGCUCUGUGGCUCCAGAUUGAGUUGAGUGGAGCAGGGGGAGUUGAGUUCCUGGUGCCAGAUGAAGUUAUGGGGGAGUAGAGGUUGUGGAUAAUUAAGAAAGGCGGAUGGGAAGAGAUAACAGAAUGAGUGAUCUGGUGUCAGGGACAGACAGAUUGGCUGACAGACAGGGGGACAUUGUAGCUGAAUCCUAGAACUGAGGUUUCUGCCUCUUUCUAAGGCUUGACUAUAGGGGUCACACCCCUUUCCUGGGAUAAUCUGGUGACCCCAACCUUUGUCUGAUACACUCUAGCAAACCACAAACUGUGACUGGAGCAGAUUAUUUUUGUAUAUUUCAAGAAGGCCUGUGUUUAUCCUUUCUUAAGACACAUUGAUAAAUUCCUUUUACCCGCCUCUCUAAAAUAUCAGACCCUCUUCCUUUUCUUUGAGAUGUUCCUCACUAAUAAACAUGCUCUCUAUUGCAGUCACCCGCACCAAAUCUCCUUCAUUGUCAGGUGCCUCUUACUUUCACAAUGACCAAAGGUAA